rnacentral:pre_miRNA from 1 species
AGUGGGAUAGCUGGGUCAAAUGAUGGUUUCAUUCCACGUUUUUCAAGGAAUCUCCAUACUGCUUUCCAAAGUGGUUAUACAAUUUGCAGUCCCACCAGCAGU